CCGGUAGACAUUACGGUACACACUUUCAAUAUCAAACCCCAUUCUUAUUUCCCUCUCAUUCUCACUUUUACAUUCAUUCUGCUUCCUCCCUUCUCUCUCCACAAAAGCUUGCGACUGCUUCCUCCCUUCCACCGAUUUUUCAGCAACCAUGUCUAGAGCACCUAUCAUGAUUUCUGACUUGAAACUCGAACAAAACGUGUGGAAAAUAGCUAUUCGUGUUGUCGAUGUAUGGGACGUCAAGGAAUGCAAUGGCCAGCAACAUCUUGAAGCCAUUAAUCAAGAUGCAAAGGGUGAUCAAAUCCAUGUUGUAUCCCGCUCCCGUGGCUUUGAAAUAUGGAAGAAGACCUUGUAGGAAAUGAAAACCUUUGUCGUCUAUAAUGGUGAAACUAUGUUCAAUGACAUGCCUCUGAAAGUUUGUGAUACAAGGUGUUUUUUAAUUGUGCCACAACUAUCAUUGUCGUUGACGUACCAGACAUUCCACAACACAAGUUCAACUUCAAGUCCUUCACUGAUUUCAAAAGUGGAGAUUUCAUUGUUGAUCGCCUUUACGAUAUUCCUUGACAAACUUUGUUCUUAGUAGAUUCCAUAUUAGAAGCAUAUCCUUUACAGUAUUAAUGACACACUUUGUUUUCUAAAUUGUGCACAUUGUCUUUUUCAGAUGUAAUAGGUGUUGUCCAACAAGUUGUUAGGACUCAAGUAGCAGGUGCUGGCAAAUUUUUUCUACUGCAGGUGUGAGUUAAAUUUUUCUGCUGCAGGUGUUGUAUCAUGUCAAAAAUGAAUUUAAAAGAAUAGAAUGCAGGGCAGGUCUACUCUUUGGUUGCUCACUUCACUGUGUUUGUUGUUUUAAGUUGAAUGUGCAUAAUUUCAUUACACUAACUCGUGAUCAUGUUUAAUGUUACAUGGUCUUCGUGAAAUAACACGGCAGCAAGGAUCUUGAAGGUUUUGUGCUCCUUAAUUUUGACAAGCUAAGGACU